CUGCGAUAAGCGCCGGUAAGGUGAUAUGAACCGUUAUAACCGGCGAUACCCGAAUGGGGAAACCCAGUGUGAUUCGUCACACUAUCAUUAACUGAAUCCAUAGGUUAAUGAGGCGAACCGGGGGAACUGAAACAUCUAAGUACCCCGAGGAAAAGAAAUCAACCGAGAUUCCCCCAGUAGCGGCGAGCGAACGGGGAGGAGCCCAGAGCCUGAAUCAGCAUGUGUGUUAGUGGAAGCGUCUGGAAAGGCGCGCGAUACAGGGUGACAGCCCCGUACACAAAAGCGCAUGUGCUGUGAGCUCGAUGAGUAGGGCGGGACACGUGGUAUCCUGUCUGAAUAUGGGGGGACCAUCCUCCAAGGCUAAAUACUCCUGACUGACCGAUAGUGAACCAGUACCGUGAGGGAAAGGCGAAAAGAACCCCGGCGAGGGGAGUGAAAAAGAACCUGAAACCGUGUACGU
rnacentral:rRNA from 1 species